GAUAUGGCGCUAUACAAAUAAAAUUGAAAAUUGAAUAGAAUUGAUUCCCCCACACAGCACACACAUCCAAACUGCCAUCGCCCCUUUUUAUCUUUUGUUUUGUUAAUCAUUUCUGUUCUGUUCCAUUAUUGGUUUUCAACACACCAUUGUCCACAGUAUUCACACCAUGAAGGAUUACACAAAGGAUAGAGCAAAUAUGGGCUUACCAAUAUUUAUCAGCUGAUAUUUGACCAGAAAUUUACAAAACCUUAGCCUUAAAUGAACUCUGCUGAUGGUUUUUGUUGAUUGAGGUGUGUGUUUUUUGUUGUUCUUGUCAAUUAAUGUGGUGUUUAUUGACGACUUCCCGGUAUAUUUAAUCACAUGAUGUCAUAUUUUAUUCCAAAGUAAAAGUUUGAUUUUGAAGAUUUACUGUACAAAAAGAUGCAAAUCCUGAACAACGGGGUUCACUACUGAUAUUGGAAAAAUAUUUUACUUCACCUGUCUCUGAGUUUCUCCUCUUUUAUAAGUCUGAAAUGUUGCGAGUCUGGAGUUCUUUGUUGAGCCAUUGAAAGGUUCACACUGGCAAUAUAUUUUCUUUUUCAUUUCAUUUAUUUAUUUCAACGUUAUAUUUUAGUAUUUAUGCAACCUUAUUAUUUGCUUUUGCAAUGAAGUGUAUUUUGAAAGUGGUUGGUUUCUCAUUGCAUAAAUAUACAACACUGGGAAGAAUACUUAAUUUAUUUAUCAAUAUACUUUUUGAAUCAAUUGAAGUCAUUACAAAUAUAUUAAUUUGAGGUAAUCAGAUUCACUGGCUCAGUACUACCGAUGCAGUAUCUCAAAGAAAAGCAUGGUGGGAGGAGGAGGAGUUUUCUGCCCGCGGCCGUGUCAGUGCACAGGUUUGUCGGUUGCGAUUCCCACGGGCGCUCAUUACGGAGCCGCCACUCAGGAAACACACCUGCCGGCAGCCAAUGAGACGCCGCUGCCCGGCAGCCCACACAGGUCCCGCCUACACACCGACCGACAGCUAACGGAGCUGAACGCACACACGCCUUCGGAGCUGUGAGCUCGGCCUCCCGGUGCUAAUCGAGGUAAAAAAGCAAAUCAAAUCUGACUAAUACCGACUGGCAGCGGGGACAUCUUCAUCUGUAAUGGAGGGGAGUCUUCCUCCGUGUCUGCUCACGCACCGUUUACACAGUUCAAUGCUUCGUCUGCAAAAUUGGACGACCGGAGGACCGAGAAGCUCCGACUCCAUCUAACGUGACGAAAUACAACUUCGAACGAGUCUGGAGACGUUUUGUUUUCUAUAUUCCACGCAGAAGUGUAAGAGUUGCUCUGUAGUGCGCUCGGAGCGGUGCAUAUGCGAGGGAAUGAUGAUGGAAAGGAAGCGGCAACCUCAGAAGUCGAGGACCCAUGUCGAUUGACUGAGGCCCAAUCCCGUGUCUCAUUUUUACCCCUUCCUCUUGAAAAGGAGCUACAAGGGAAAGGGGUUGAAAAUCUCCCCCUACGAAAUGGGACAGCCCUUCGAACUCGAUACGGCACCACGUGAUUCAACAUGCCUGGAAUUGUAAAGACGCUGUUGCAGUUGCCAUGGUGACAGCGAUGCACUUGAACACAACACAGUCGGAACUUACUGUACUCGGCUGAGGUCGGAGUCAUUAAGGAAGGAGGUCGACCACGAACCCUCAACAACACAACAAACGUCAGUACGAAGCAAAGUGUCUCGACGACGACGUCUCAGACGUUGAUUAUCAAAUCAAAAAUGUUAAGACAAGAAAGAAGAAGAAAAAAACUAAUUCAAUUAUUGCAUCUCUUCCUCUUUUUUUGGUUUAUCCUUGAGAACUUUUUUUUUUUUUAAUCAACAACUUCCACUUUCUUCAGAGCUUUACCUCGUUUGCACAGUUUCACCAUUUGUGGGACAAAGUUUCCGUGUUGGUGAAAAACAAACUCACCCCGCGUCUGAUCGUUGAUUAAAAGGACAGACAAAGGGCGGCGGCGGCGCCAAGGCCGCUCUUUCAAACGCCGGCAGCUCCGCUUUCACUCCACUUUGUUCCAUACGAAGCUUAUUUGCACAAAAAAUAAUUAUUCGGUGUGAAAAGGUGAAACAAAAGGAAAAACGCAGGACUUUUGCUUUGAGACCUUGAAAAAGAGGAAAAGUUCAGGACUUUCAUUUGAUGGAGUCGAUUCAGAGACUCAGUAUUUGUUAAUCUACAAUUCAAAUUACUUCUAUAAAUUACUUUAUACUUUCUGCUUCAACAAUAUGUACGUCGAAAUAUUAUUUAUGUUGUUCAUCCCAUUGUAUUAUAACGUGUUAUUGUAUUUCACUGGCUAUGCCAGGUAUUGUUUUCAUCCCCGUGGUUUUUAUGGACAGAAAAUAACUCAACGCAUGGACGGAUUUUCACCGAACUCGGAAAUGGAAUUAUGAAUCGGGAGUUCAUCUUCCGGAUGACGAACUUUAGGAGCUGAUCGGUCAAAAGCGCAAAGGUCGAGGUAAAAAAAAAAAAAGAUAUGGUCCAAAAGAAGCAUCUGUAAAGAUAUUUCCACAAUUAUUAGAGACGAUCUAAAGCUUCUAUUGAUCAGAAAAUGAUUCCUCACCCCAACGUCACACAACGAGCCCAGUCUGGGAUCCGGAGCUUCCUCGUUACCGAAGUGGACAAGUGGAAAACGACUCUGACUGUCGCCGGGCAGGUUUAGUGUCUAAUUCAUUUUUUGAGGGUCAGUCCGAGUCCGAGGUCCCGUCACUGUAUGUUCCUGAUACUGCACACGGGUCAUAGUGAUGGAGGUCAUCACUUCACCAGUAUUUCACAUGAUUUAAUAGCCUGAACUUAAGAGUAAACCAUCUCCUUUUCUUGUGCCGCAACUGACUUUUUCAUUAUAAAACCAAAACGAUCAUCAAACCAACGAUAUUUGCACCUUAGUAAUAAUACAAAGGUGUAUUAUUUAUUAAAUAAUCAUUUGGUUUUUCUGCUGGGUCAGGUUCGUCGCGGUCAGACUCCUGAAUGAAGAACUUCAUAUUUAUAUUUCUGAUCCGUUAGUUCGAAGACGGUAAGACAAGUAAGUGGUUUUCUUUAAAAGCCGAAUCACCGUGCGAGUGAGGACGAUCCCCGUCUAGAAAUUCACAUGUACGUUGUCAAUUUCUCCGCAAAACAUUCGUAAUUUUACACGGUUAGUUUAGUCCGACCGACAGUGAGGCCGUCGAUACAGAAGCUGCUCGUGAACACGACGUCGUGUGAAUCACUUUCCUCACAGACGAUCCAGUGACCUCGGGUCCGCAGCUAAACUACGUUUAAAUCCCGAGUCGUGACAAAAACAAAUAAAACCGACGAGCCGGUUUUCAGCAGAAAUGACGUGAACCGGCACCAACAACAGCAGCUAAUGCGUUAAUGUAAAAAUAUGUAGGUUAACAACAGUAUUAAUGUAAGUAUGGUAAUAUGAUAAACACGUGUAAUCCAAACACAAGUAUUUACGGCUUUGGUAUCAGACGGGGGUUCAGUAAUCCAGCCGCAGACAGAUGUUGAACCCUCUCCCCUCUUACAGUACAUCGUGUUUAUGAUCUGUAUUUAAUCUCUGUUCGGAUUUUUUUUUAAUGUUUAACUUGUUAUGACGAAAAUGAGAAAAUGUGUUUAGUUGUGAGCCUGAAACACGAGCUGAUAAAAAAAUUAACGUUUCGCCUUUUAGUUUUUUCUUAAAUUCGACGUUACCGUGAAAGACCAUAAAACGUACAGUUUGAUUUUCAUCGUCCUGAUCAACGUUAUGAUCCAGCUGUUCACAUCUGAAUCUUCAUCUGAAGUUUCUCAGGUACAGAUUUAUAUAAAAUGAAUAACUGACAAACAUUUACUCAAGUACUGUAUAAUUAUAAAAUAUCAAUAAUUCUCUAUGAAUGUCAUUUCUGUGAUUUAAUCAUUUUAUCUGUUUAUUUAUUUGUUGAUGUUUUUCCUUAUUUGACAUUUCAUCCUCGGCAUUUAUUAUAUUUAUUUAUUUAUUUUUAUAAUUGAUUUAAUCACAACUGAACAGUUUCAUGUUCAUCUUAAAAGUGCUGCAUGAAUAAAGUUGAUCAUAUUUAUACAUCUA